rnacentral:rRNA from 1 species
GUGGGGAAUAUUGGACAAUGGGCGCAAGCCUGAUCCAGCCAUGCCGCGUGAGUGAUGAAGGCCUUCGGGUUGUAAAGCUCUUUAGCCGAUGAUUAUAAUGACUGUAGUCGGAAAAUAAGCCCCGGCUAACUUCGUGCCAGCAGCCGCGGUAAUACGAAGGGGGCGAGCGUUAUUCGGAAUCACUGGGCGUAAAGCGUGCGUAGGCGGCUUUGCAAGUUGGGAGUGAAAGCCCAGGGCUCAACCCUGGAAUUGCUCUCAAAACUGCAAGGCUCGAAUUCGGGAGAGGAUAGCGGAAUUGUCAGUGUAGCAGUGAAAUGCGUAGAUAUUGACAGGAACACCAGUGGCGUAAGCGGCUAUCUGGACCGAUAUUGACGCUGAGGCACGAAAGCGUGGGGAUCAAACAGGAUUAGAAACCCUAGUAGUCC